rnacentral:rRNA from 1 species
AGGACGAACGCUGGCGGCGUGCCUAACACAUGCAAGUCGAGCGAGGAGAUCCUUCGGGAUGAUCCUAGCGGCGGACGGGUGAGUAACACGUGGGCAACCUGCCUCAUAGAGAGGAAUAGCCUUCCGAAAGGGAGAUUAAUACCUCAUAACAUUGCAGUUUCGCAUGGAACAGCAAUUAAAGGAGUAAUCCGCUAUGAGAUGGGCCCGCGGCGCAUUAGCUAGUUGGUGAGGUAAUGGCUCACCAAGGCGACGAUGCGUAGCCGACCUGAGAGGGUGAUCGGCCACAUUGGGACUGAGACACGGCCCAGACUCCUACGGGAGGCAGCAGUGGGGAAUAUUGCACAAUGGGGGAAACCCUGAUGCCAGCAACGCCGCGUGAGUGAUGACGGCCUUCGGGUUGUAAAGCUCUGUCUUCAGGGACGAUAAUGACGGUACCUGAGGAGGAAGCCACGGCUAACUACGUGCCAGCCGCCGC